GUGCCAGCAGCCGCGGUAAUACGUAGGGUCCAAGCGUUAAUCGGAAUUACUGGGCGUAAAGCGUGCGCAGGCGGUUGUGCAAGACCGAUGUGAAAUCCCCGAGCUUAACUUGGGAAUUGCAUUGGUGACUGCACGGCUAGAGUGUGUCAGAGGGGGGUAGAAUUCCACGUGUAGCAGUGAAAUGCGUAGAGAUGUGGAGGAAUACCGAUGGCGAAGGCAGCCCCCUGGGAUAACACUGACGCUCAUGCACGAAAGCGUGGGGAGCAAACAGGAUUAGAAACCCCAGUAGUCCA
rnacentral:rRNA from 1 species